CCUACGGGAGACAGCAGUGAGGAAUAUUGGUCAAUGGACGAGAGUCUGAACCAGCCAAGUAGCGUGAAGGAUGACUGCCCUAUGGGUUGUAAACUUCUUUUAUAUGGGAAUAAAAUGUUCCACGUGUGGGAUUUUGUAUGUACCAUAUGAAUAAGGAUCGGCUAACUCCGUGCCAGCAGCCGCGGUAAUACGGAGGAUCCGAGCGUUAUCCGGAUUUAUUGGGGUUAAAGGGAGCGUAGGUGGAUUGUUAAGUCAGUUGUGAAAGUUUGCGGCUCAACCGUAAAAUUGCAGUUGAAACUGGCAGUCUUGAGUACAGUAGAGGUGGGCGGAAUUCGUGGUGUAGCGGUGAAAUGCUUAGAUAUCACGAAGAACUCCGAUUGCGAAGGCAGUUCACUGGACUGCAACUGACACUGAGGCUCGAAAGUGUGGGUAUCAAACAGGAUUAGAUACCCGAGUAGUC
rnacentral:rRNA from 1 species